rnacentral:lncRNA from 1 species
UAACAAAACCUAUAAUUACUGACAAGUUACCAGGGAUUUUCACAUGUUAUAUCUCGUCCUACACAAACUACUCCAUAAGGUUCAUAUUACCUCAUGUUACUCCUUGUGAAAUGACCCGUCAUGACUUCUAUUUCCCAUUAAACCAAUGAUUAAACUCUUAAUAUUGAUAGGGUUCCAUAUUUUAUGCUAUGACUCUGUUUUAGCCAUUUAAUCAUCUUUCUUCCAUGAGAACUGGACUUAGCCUGAGCCAGAUAUUCUUCCUUAAGGUCUUUUUUGGGUAUCGAUUUCAUUCCUUGCCUGAUUUCUACUCAAAAUAUCACUCUUGUUCACCUACCCCAGUCCCCCACCCAUACUGUCCUCUCAUUUCAACUUAAUGUAUUUUCCUGUGAAUGUAAAUUUGUUUUUCCUAAUGUUAAAGUUUUUUUUUGUUGUAAAAAAUAUUAUGUAGGAUAUUUGAAAGUGAAAAGAUAGCUCUGCUGACUUCCCAGUUCUAGUCCAUCUAAGUAACCACUGUUAUGUGUCUUACAAUAACUCCUUUAUGCAUAAACAAAAGUAUGCAUAGGGCCCGGGGCUGGGGCUAUGACUCAGCGGUAGCACACUUGCCUGGCAUGUGUGAGAUACUGGGUUAGUUUCUCAGCACUGCAUAUAAAUAAAUAAAAAAUAAAAGGUCUAACAGCAACUAAAAAAAUUUUUUUAAAAUAUGCAUUGGCAUGUGUAUCAUGCGCAUAUUCAUUUACAUACACAGGAGGCACAGGCACAGAUGGAGAGAUAGAUAUGUAGAUAUGUGUUUUAUACAAACAUACCAUUCUACAACUUUCUUUUUUCAGUUGACAAUACAUCAGAAAUCAGUGUGAAUAUGUUAUUGCACUUAAACUAUCUUUAUUGCCCUAGACUGUC